rnacentral:rRNA from 1 species
AUUGAACGCUGGCGGCAGGCCUAACACAUGCAAGUCGAGCGGAUGAAGGGAGCUUGCUCCUGGAUUCAGCGGCGGACGGGUGAGUAAUGCCUAGGAAUCUGCCUGGUAGUGGGGGAUAACGUCCGGAAACGGGCGCUAAUACCGCAUACGUCCUGAGGGAGAAAGUGGGGGGUCUUCGGACCUCACGCUAUCAGAUGAGCCUAGGUCGGAUUAGCUAGUUGGUGGGGUAAAGGCCUACCAAGGCGACGAUCCGUAACUGGUCUGAGAGGAUGAUCAGUCACACUGGAACUGAGACACGGACCAGACUCCUACGGGAGGCAGCAGUGGGGAAUAUUGGACAAUGGGCGAAAGCCUGAUCCAGCCAUGCCACGUGUGUGAAGAAGGUCUUCGGAUUGUAAAGCACUUUAAGUGGGGAGGAAGGGCAGUAAGUUAAUACCUUGCUGUUUUGACGUUACCAACAGAAUAAGCACCGGCUAACUUCGUG